rnacentral:rRNA from 1 species
AUUGAACGCUGGCGGCAGGCCUAACACAUGCAAGUCGAACGGUAACAGGAAGCAGCUUGCUGCUUUGCUGACGAGUGGCGGACGGGUGAGUAAUGUCUGGGAAACUGCCCGAUGGAGGGGGAUAACUACUGGAAACGGUAGCUAAUACCGCAUAACGUCGCAAGACCAAAGAGGGGGACCUUAGGGCCUCUUGCCAUCGGAUGUGCCCAGAUGGGAUUAGCUAGUAGGUGGGGUAACGGCUCACCAGGCGACGAUCCCUAGCUGGUCUGAGAGGAUGACCAGCCACACUGGAACUGAGACACGGUCCAGACUCCUACGGGAGGCAGCAGUGGGGAAUAUUGCACAAUGGGCGCAAGCCUGAUGCAGCCAUGCCGCGUGUAUGAAGAAGGCCUUCGGGUUGUAAAGUACUUUCAGCGGGGAGGAAGGGAGUAAAGUUAAUACCUUUGCUCAUUGACGUUACCCGCAGAAGAAGCACCGGCUAACUCCGUG